GCGGGUGUAGCUCAAUGGUAGAGCAGCAGCUUCCCAAGCUGACAACGAGGGUUCGAUUCCCUUCACCCGCUCCA
rnacentral:tRNA from 8 species